ensembl:snoRNA SNORD51 small nucleolar RNA, C/D box 51
CUGGCUACAUGAUGAAUAAAAUCAAAUCACCAUCUUUCGCCUGAGCUCAUGAUUGAUUUGCUUUUUUCUGAUAAAGCUG